AGAUUCCCUUCUUCGGGUCUCAACGGCGACGGCGAGGAACGCUUUUUUUAGACACCUGGAAACUCCUCCUGAUUCUUCAACUCACUUAAGAUCAAAACCAAAACGUAUUCGCGUGCCUUUCCAAUGUUCUCUACCUGAUAUAAAAAUGUAUUCAUAUGUCCUCUAAGAUCCGAAUCAUGCCUCAAUUCUAUGACGAUUCUGUAGAUCAUCUCCCUCGGAUUCAGUCGAUGAUCUCUGGAAUAUUUGGUCUUUUCUCUUCGGAAAUAGGUGCCUGGAGCUUUCGGAUCUUAUGGAUUGAAACUAACCGUCCGAUUUGUAGCGAUGGUUCUCGGUUUGGUUUCGGAGAGCUUUGGAGGAGAUUCUAAGACAUCAAUCAAAGUCAAUCAAAGCUUUUCACCAUGCGAUCUACUUACAUGAUUUACUUCAACAAGGACGCUUGGAAGUUUCACAUGUCAGAUUCUGUAAAGUCGAAUCAAUUGCAGCCCCUUUUUUGGAUUUUGUUUGUGGCGUUUUGAGAAGAAAUAGAAGAAAACAAUGGCAGGAGCUGAUUCUGCUCGAUAUCAAAGGCCGUGUUCGCGUCUGGCAUGACUACCACGGCGAAGUGUCCGUCGCGAAAGCCGAGAGCUUCUUCUCCAAGCUCUCAGGGCUUGGAAAUAUCUUAAGGCAGCAACAUGUUGCAAGUCUGUGGUUGUUGUCUAAAAUGGUAUGUGCCUUAUGCAAAUCGGGAUGGUUGCUAGAUAAGCUGAUCAAAGGAUUGAUGUAAGAAGGCGUAAUAAAAUCUAAAGUUACUUGGCCAGUCUUUCUCUUUAUAUCCUGGGAGAUCAGAGCUACCAUUUCUACAUGCAAAUAGACAGGUGGUGAUUUUGCAACCGCUUGGGGAUAAAGGAAUCACACUUAUUGGUGGAAACACGAUUAGAUGCUUCACGUCUUCAGACCAGGCUUACGUAGGCUUACAUUUCUUCAACUGAAAAAAGCUGGAUGCGGGGAGGUGUUUUAUUGGUUCAGCUUAUAUUUCCCAAGAAACAGAUUGCAGUGAGUACCCAGCCCCGUAAAGCAGAGAAAAUUCAUCACAUGCGUCGAUCGGUUCAAAGAACUUAUGAAUGCGUCAUCAUGUGGUUUAAACACGGAGUGGAAAUGUAAAAAUUGCUCAAGAAAUCAUGAACUAAACACUUAUAUAUCAGCGCGUAGUUCUUUUUUCAAAAUAAACCAGUAAUCUUCUUCACAGGAUAAACUUCAAACUUCGAAGUGUUGUCUCAGUGUAGACAGGCGUUUCGUUUAUGGCUGUCAUUUUGAAUGAUCGUUCGAGAGACUAACAAAUCAGUGGAAAUUACGCUGAAUGAUGUCUCUAGACUGGAGGACAAAAUAUUGCUUCUCAUAGAGGUUUGUAUUAUUUUCAGUUUUGAGCUUCUAGAUGUAGAUUUAUUGAUUCUCGCGUAAUCUUUGACUUAAAAUUUUUGAAAAGCUUGUGAUGUGUGAUUAUUAUGAUUUAAACGUAUUGAAUAAAAGAGAUAUUUUUUCAUC